rnacentral:rRNA from 1 species
GUCGGGGCGGGGAUUCUCGACGUUUACUGUGAAAAAAUCAAAGUGUUCAAAGCAGGCUUACGCCUUGAAUACAUUAACAUGGAAUAAUGAGAUAGGACCUUGGCGGUCUAUUUUGUUGGUUUGCACGCCGAGGUAAUGAUUAAAAGGGACGGUUGGGGUUCUUCCUAUUCAAUUGUCAAAAGUGAAAUUCUUGGAUUUAUGGAAAACCAACUGCUGCGAAAGCGUCGAACAAGGACGUUCUCAUUAAUCAAAAACGAAAGUUAGGGGAUCAAAAAUGAUUAAAUACCCUC